AUGAGAAAACGCAGUUCUGCCUGCGCUGUUCCGAGGAGGGCGUGCGGGGCUGGGGAUGAGGUUCGCUUCUCUAGAUCGAGUGCCUCAAAGCCGCCUGUCGCGGGGCGGGGCGGGGCGACGCCUGUUCCCCAGCCGGUGGGACCCCAGGUGCCCCCUAAUUCCUUUUGGAACUCUGCUCCCUCAAACGCCGCCCUCUCAGCCGCUCAGUUUCAAGGGACCCUGGAAACUCAUCCCUGGAGAGAGCUGCAGUUCUUUUCCGGAAGACAAUCACAUGAGUCAGCCAGACUGGUGCACCCCGGGGUGGACUUGAGGGGUCCAGGAGUGGCCUCUGGAGCUAGGGAGCGUUGGCCCAGGUUGCGUCCCGUGGCCCAGGAGCCCAGGGAAGACGAUAGAGCAGGCUGGGAAGGAGCCAGGGCCUGUGCCCUGCACCGGGGACCCGCUGCAGGGCACCGCAGGCCACUUGGGUCACCUGCGACGUUUCCCCCUUUUCUCUCCCUUCCUUUUGGGCCCACUACGAGGAGGGCACCCAGACAUCCACCCUCACCUCCAUCACUUUUCUGGAAGAAAGCCCGUUCAGUAGAUGCAACUCAGGCCAUUUGUGCGCUUAAGCAAGCUCAAGAAAUAGAAAAUAUCCAAAGAAUGAGACCCCAGGGAAUGCUUCCACACCCAGCACCCGCUUCCUAAGUCGUAGGAACCGGGUCGUCAUUAGCGCUCUGACCCGGAGGAGAGACGCCUUAGAGAAAGAAAUGAACAGAGAACCCGCACCACCCCGCCUGCUUCAUUUCGCUUUCCUUGAAAUCCCUCGGCUUCGAGUUCCCGUCUCCUCCGCGUCCCUCGCCUUCGGUCUCCCGCCCCUCAAAUGCACAAUGCGCCGAUGCUGGGAGGGGAGGAGAGCGGGGAGUUACGGUAGAGGAAAAAAAUCAACAAGCUUUCAGGGGAAAAAAAAAAAAAAAAGUAAACCUGCGCAUCCAGAGUGCCAACACGUUUUUUCCAUUUGCGUCGACUUAUUUGGAAACAGCUGUCGGGGUGAUAAUUUCGCCUGAGAAAUUAACCAUUAAAGUCUCAAAGUUCCAAAUGAUUGUGAAAUUCCGCUUGUAAAAAAUACUGAUUUUUAAAGAGUUUCUUUUCUCUGUCGUUCCUACAUGAAGCCCCGAGGAUGCGCUUUGGGCUCGGGGACUGAGGGCGUGCUGGGCAGACAGCUGUUGAUCCACACAAAGAGGACACCAGAGUGGACGCAGCUUGGGGUUCCAUCUGGGAGGACUGUUCAUCCCCUUCCCCAUUCCAAUGAAAAGAAAUGGAUUAAAAAAGGAAUAAUCGGAAUUAUGUGUUUAUGGUGGGCAGAUGGAACAGGAAAGAAUGAACCUUAGCAACAAAAGGAUGAUGGAGAGGAGAGUGAAAAUUCGGAAGCAACAAAAUAACUAAGGAAGCUAAGGGGAUACUAACACUGGACAGGGAGCUACAGUGUUGAUUUAGACAUGAAUCAGCUCUUCUCUACUCUUAUUGAUCAAUAAUUUGGUACCCUCUCAUAAACUGCUGGAGAAGCCAAAUCCAGUUUUUUUUUUUUCUUCUGAGAAACAAGGUUGGAAAUCAGUUUGAAACCAACAAAGCCACCUGCCAGCCUGUCAGAAUCUGUCCACUGCAGUGUCUUCCUCCCCCUCCCUCCCCCACCCCACUCUCCCUAUCUUGUCUCACUCCCCCAGUCCAUCCCCACUUCCUUAUCCUGUUAGCUUCUCCCCCAAUUAAUCCAACCGGGAGUCAGCCUUACACCUGCUGGAGGGAUUCUGGUGGCAGUGGUGGGAGGUUCUGGUUUGCAGCAGAGACUCAAACGUCUUGUCAAUCUCACCCAUGCUCUCUGUAGGACCCUCCCUGGAAGAUACUGGAGCAUGGAGCUGGGGAAGCUCUCCUAAGCUGGAAUGUUUUGCCUGUUUCCACCAUCCAUCUCCCUUGCCUCCCAGCACCUACCACCCCUUAGUCUGUUUUUUCUCAGCCCAGUUCCAUCCUUGCAUGAGUUGGCAAAACUCUCUUAUUGAUGUUGGGUGCACGGUUUUAAAUGGGGGAAAUGGAUUGAACAUACUGGGUCCUCCUUUAAAAAAUUUUUAAUUUCAUUGACACGUCUUGAAAGGUUUGUUUUGGUUUAAGCAAAGCUGCCAAUACCAAAUACAAACAGAUGGACACACACUGUGAGUAUCAGAUGUUGGGAAUAAAAAUGGUUUAUUGAUUGAAAUAAUAGAGGCA
ensembl:lncRNA